CUUUAUUAGUCCCACAGCAAAGAGGUUUAUAGUGUUACAAGUGCAAAGUGAUAGCAAAGCACACAGAAGCAGAGAAAAGUAUUAACAAAUAAUAUAUAAACAAAAAAUAAAUCUGGAGAAUAUUUACAUUACUUGCACAUGAAAAAACCUGUACAACACAUUAGAGGUGUGUGUGUGUGUGUCUGUGUGUGUGAGUGUGUGUGUGUGUGUGUCUGUGUGUGUGGUCUACUAGGAGCAGCGCUGGUUAUGAAGUUUGACAAGCGGCAGGAAGGAAGGACUUGUGAUGCCUGUCCUUCAGACACUUUGGAUUAAGCAGUGACUGAAGGAGCUCUCCAGUGGUGUCAGAGUGUCCUUCAUGGGCUCACCGGGUUUAUUCUUUCAUGUGAGUGAGGGGUCCCAGCUCCAGACUCCCUGCAUUGCCCUGCGUCUGUGUGGCCUAGAUGGGAGGACCAGAAACUGCUGAACAGGAACUGCCAAGCUAAAUCCAUAGAACAAGGUUUACAUAACCUUACAUGCACUCGGCAGAUCAUAAGAGGAGUACUUGAGGCCCUCAUAAAGCAGAGUUGGAAAGGCACACAAAUGGCAAUAAAUUUUCUUUUAUGAUGCCAGGAGGAUUUGUUGGUAUAAUGAAGCAUUGCAGCUGUACGAUAUUUAGGAUUGGAGAAUUUCAAAUAGAGCAGGAAGCCAACAUGUUUUCUUUCGUUGGAUGGAGGUAUUCCCUGAUCCCUCUUUAUUCCAUUACAGACACAGCCUGGGAUAGACAUGAGAAAAUAUCAUCCCUCUUUUUGCCAGGCGGCUAGAUGGAAUAUGAGUAACACUGUUGCUGUAGCAGACUGAAGAAUUAUUUCCCAGUACUUUUCCAUUGUUCAGUCUGCUAAGAAUUGAGUAAAAGAAUGAAGGUCGUACUUUGCUGUGUUUUUUCUCUCUGCCACUCCCUGCCUCUAAGGUCACGGAUUCGCUUUCCACCACCUGCAGUAGCUGUCUUUUGAAGCCCACCCUGGAAAACUAUACGGAAAGCAGCUGGUGGGUCGUUCGAUCUCCGGCUGUGGAAGUCCCAAAUGUUCAAACCUCAUAUCCAAACAUGCUUCUGCUUCCAGCUCCCCCCUCCUCAACACUCCCCUACCCAGCCUACCCAGCAUGACCCCGUGUUUGAGGUGUGUGUGUUUGAAUGUGGUCUGCAGAAAUAAGACAAGGGGCCCCACUCUGGCCUUGGACCAUUCUCUGGAGAGAUGUCUAAGACUCUAUCAACUAAAGUCAAGUUCUCCUUUUUAGACUUUGCCUUUGGUGGUCAGGAAAAGGUCAGGGUGCUACUAUGGAAGGGGUCACUUGAAGCUAGUAGUUUAAGGUGAGGACCUAUACAGCAUUAUUUCACAAUAUGAGGAAUAAAUCCGAUUAAAUCUCUAUAAAUAAAUCUAAUUGAGAAUAAUUGCC